AGCCACACCUUGUAGUAGUCAAAGGUUUGGAUGAACCAUAUAAAUUGAAUUUGCUUCGAACAGUCUUGAAUUUGCUUCGAAGGUUUGAGAAUUGUAGUUGCUCUCAAUUGAUGAAGCUUUUGUUGGCACCAUAAAUUGGUUUUGCUUCACACUGUCUUGAUCAAGAAUGUGAAGCUUUUGAGAAUUGUGGUUGAACUCCUUUGAUGAAGC
rnacentral:lncRNA from 1 species